rnacentral:rRNA from 1 species
AUGAAUUUCAUUUUCAAAGGUUCAAACAGAAAAUUUGUACUCAUAUUCAUGGAUGACAUAUUGGUGUUCAGUGGGACAUUAGAAGAACACCUGCAACAUUUGCAAGAAGUGUUUGCAAUACUCAAGGAGAACAACAUGUUUGUUAAGGAAAGCAAAUGUGCUUUUGCUCAGAAGUCCAUGGAGUAUCUGGGACACAUUAUUACUGCUGUAGGAGUCACCACUGAUCCUGCCAAAACAGCUGCUAUGGUGGAUUGGCCUACACCCACUAAUGUCACUGAAUUGAGAGGAUUUUUGGGACUAACUGGCUACUAUAGGAAGUUUGUCAAGAACUAUGGCCUGUUAGCUAAACCUCUCACUGUUCUGUUGAAGAAACAAGCAUUCCAGUGGACUGAAUCUGCACAGGCUACCUUUCAACUUCUGAAGCAAGCUAUGGCCACUACACCUGUGUUGGCCUUGCCAGAUUUUAACAAAUCUUUCACAGUGGAAACAGAUGCUUGCAACACUGGGAUAUGUGCAGUGCUCACACAGGAGGGACAUCCCAUUGCAUACUACAGCAAGGCCUUGGGCACAAAUAGUCAUAAAAUUUCCAUCUAUGAAAAAGAAUUUAUGGCCAUAAUGAUGGCUGUGGAUAGAUGGAGAUCAUAUCUG